rnacentral:rRNA from 1 species
UUAAAUUGAAGAGUUUGAUCAUGGCUCAGAUUGAACGCUGGCGGCAGGCCUAACACAUGCAAGUCGAACGGUAACAGGAAACAGCUUGCUGUUUCGCUGACGAGUGGCGGACGGGGGAGUAAUGUCUGGGAAACUGCCUGAUGGAGGGGGAUAACUACUGGAAACGGUAGCUAAUACCGCAUAACGUCGCAAGACCAAAGAGGGGGACCUUCGGGCCUCUUGCCAUCGGAUGUGCCCAGAUGGGAUUAGCUAGUAGGUGGGGUAACGGCUCACCUAGGCGACGAUCCCUAGCUGGUCUGAGAGGAUGACCAGCCACACUGGAACUGAGACACGGUCCAGACUCCUACGGGAGGCAGCAGUGGGGAAUAUUGCACAAUGGGCGCAAGCCUGAUGCAGCCAUGCCGCGUGUAUGAAGAAGGCCUUCGGGUUGUAAAGUACUUUCAGCGGGGAGGAAGGGAGUAAAGUUAAUACCUUUGCUCAUUGACGUUACCCGCAGAAGA